rnacentral:rRNA from 1 species
AUUGAACGCUGGCGGCAUGCCUUACACAUGCAAGUCGAACGGCAGCACGGGUGCUUGCACCUGGUGGCGAGUGGCGAACGGGUGAGUAAUACAUCGGAACAUGUCCUGUAGUGGGGGAUAGCCCGGCGAAAGCCGGAUUAAUACCGCAUACGAUCCACGGAUGAAAGCGGGGGACCUUCGGGCCUCGCGCUAUAGGGUUGGCCGAUGGCUGAUUAGCUAGUUGGUGGGGUAAAGGCCUACCAAGGCGACGAUCAGUAGCUGGUCUGAGAGGACGACCAGCCACACUGGGACUGAGACACGGCCCAGACUCCUACGGGAGGCAGCAGUGGGGAAUUUUGGGCAAUGGGCGAAAGCCUGAUCCAGCAAUGCCGCGUGUGUGAAGAAGGCCUUCGGGUUGUAAAGCACUUUUGUCCGGAAAGAAAUCCUUGGCUCUAAUACAGUCGGGGGGUGACGGUACCGGAAGAAUAAGCACCGGCUAACUACGUG